CCUUGACAUACUAAGAACUUUCCAGAGAUGGAUUGGUGCCUUCGGGAACUUAGAUACAGGUGCUGCAUGGCUGUCGUCAGCUCGUGUCGUGAGAUGUUGGGUUAAGUCCCGCAACGAGCGCAACCCUUUUCCUUAUUUGCCAGCCGGUCAUGCCGGGAACUUUAAGGAUACUGCCAGUGACAAACUGGAGGAAGGCGGGGACGACGUCAAGUCAUCAUGGCCCUUACGGCCAGGGCUACACACGUGCUACAAUGGUCGGUACAAAGGGUUGCUACCUCGCGAGAGGAUGCUAAUCUCAAAAAGCCGAUCGUAGUCCGGAUCGCAGUCUGCAACUCGACUGCGUGAAGUCGGAAUCGCUAGUAAUCGCGGAUCAGAAUGCCGCGGUGAAUACGUUCCCGGGCCUUGUACACACCGCCCGUCACACCAUGGGAGUUUGUUGCACCAGAAGUAGGUAGUCUAACCGCAAGGAGGACGCUUACCACGGUGUGGCCGAUGACUGGGGUGAAGUCGUAACAAGGUAGGCGUAGAUGA
rnacentral:rRNA from 1 species